GGCCGACGACAGAUUCGAGUACAAGAUCGAGAAUGAUGACGGGACAUACCAGUACGGCUACCAAUCCGGCCGUCUGGGAGACGACGGCGGCUACAACUUCAAACACGAGUACAAGCGGGCGGACGGCGUGCUGUUCGGACAGCACGGAUAUGAACUGCCCAGCGGACUGAACCACACGGUCAACUACGUGGCGGACGGACGGGGGUACCGUGUGCUGGAGGACGGUCAGGAGUACGAGCCGGCGACGGUGCAGGAGGUGGAGCGGCAGCGGAGCCUACUCGGCGACCUCUCCGACGACUGGGAGGACCAGGAGCCCCUCCAGCUCGAUGUCAGUCUGCUGCAAAG